rnacentral:rRNA from 1 species
CCUACGGGGGGCAGCAGUGAGGAAUAUUGGUCAAUGGACGAGAGUCUGAACCAGCCAAGUAGCGUGAAGGAUGACUGCCCUAUGGGUUGUAAACUUCUUUUAUAUGGGAAUAAAACGUUCCACGUGUGGGAUUUUGUAUGUACCAUAUGAAUAAGGAUCGGCUAACUCCGUGCCAGCAGCCGCGGUAAUACGGAGGAUCCGAGCGUUAUCCGGAUUUCUUGGGUUUAAAGGGAGCGUAGAUGGGUUGUUAAGUCAGUUGUGAAAGUUUGCGGCUCAACCGUAAAAUUGCAAUUGAUACUGGCAGCCUUGAGUACAGUUGAGGUAGGCGGAAUUCGUGGUGUAGCGGUGAAAUGCUUAGAUAUCACGAAGAACUCCGAUUGCGAAGGCAGCCUACUAAACUGCCACUGACAUUGAUGCUCGAAAGUGUGGGUAUCAAACAGGAUUAGAUACCCUGGUAGUC